AGCGAACGCUGGCGGCAGGCCUAACACAUGCAAGUCGAACGAACUCUUCGGGGUUAGUGGCGGACGGGUGAGUAACACGUGGGAACGUGCCUUUUGGUUCGGAAUAACUCAGGGAAACUUGUGCUAAUACCGAAUGUGCCCUUCGGGGGAAAGAUUUAUCGCCAUUAGAGCGGCCCGCGUCUGAUUAGCUAGUUGGUGAGGUAACGGCCCACCAAGGCGACGAUCAGUAGCUGGUCUGAGAGGAUGACCAGCCACACUGGGACUGAGACACGGCCCAGACUCCUACGGGAGGCAGCAGUGGGGAAUCUUGCGCAAUGGGCGAAAGCCUGACGCAGCCAUGCCGCGUGAAUGAUGAAGGUCUUAGGAUUGUAAAAUUCUUUCACCGGGGACGAUAAUGACGGUACCCGGAGAAGAAGCCCCGGCUAACUUCGUG
rnacentral:rRNA from 1 species